rnacentral:rRNA from 1 species
GUAAUAGUACCUGAAACCAUGUGCCUACAAGCGGUCGGAGCCCGAUUUAACGGGUGACGGCGUGCCUUUUGCAUAAUGAUCCGGCGAGUUAGCGUAAACGGCCCGGUUAAGAGUCUCCGGCUCGGAGCCAUAGGGAAACCAAGUCUGAACAGGGCGUUUGUCGUUAGUGCUAGACGCGAAACCCAGUGAUCUACCCAUGAGCAGGUUGAAGCGCGGGUUAUACUGCGUGAAGGACCGAACCCACUUGGGUUGAAAACCGAGGGGAUGACUUGUGGGGAGGAGUGAAAGUCUAAUCAAACUGGGAGAUAGCUCGUUCUUUCCGAAAUAGCUUUAGGGCUAGCCUUGAGCCACUAUGCAGCGGGGGUAGAGAUACUGAAUUGGACUGGGGCGACUCACAUCGUACCCAUCCGAACCAAACUCCGAAUACCGUUGUAAUUAUCUCAGGAGUCAGUCCGCGAGGGAUAAGCUUCGCGGUCGAGAGGGAAACAACCCAGACCAUCUGCUAAGGUCCCCAAAUCAUUCUCAGUCACUAAGGAAGUUCAAUUGCUGAGACAGCCAGGAUGUUGGCUUAGAAGCAGCCAUCAUUUAAAAAGUGCGUAACAGCUUACUGGUCGAGCAAUUGAGCGCCGAUAAUGAACGGGAGUAAGAAUGAUACCGAAGCAAUGGAAUCGCAAGAUUGGUAGGAAAGCGCUCCAAGGGAGAUACAAGCCGUACGGUAACGAGCGGUAGCGGCCCUUGGAGGUGAUUAUGCCGGAAUGAGUAACGAUAAAACAGGUGAUGAAUCCUGUUCGCCGAAAGCCUAAGGUUUCCUGGGGAAGGUAAAUCCGCCCAGGGUUAGCCGGUCCCUUAGUCAAGGCCGAAAGGCGUAGACGAUGGACAGCAGGUUAAUAUUCCUGCGCUGCGGACAUGGACCGAUGGAGGGACGGCGUUUGAAUGGUGAGCAGCCGAUUAGAAAUGGCUGUGGACCACCUGAUGUUUCACGGGUUAAAAGACGUGAUAUCGCAGAGGGUGGGACUAAAGAUCUGAAUCCGUUAAUCAUCUGAAGAACGUCCAAGAAAAGCUUCUAAGGGUUGAAAUGUUCGUAACCGUACUAAAACUGACACAGGUAGGCGGGUUGAGUAUACUAAGGCGCUCGGGAGAAUACUGGUUAAGGAACUCUGCAAAAUGAUCCCGUACGUUCAAUGAUCCCGUACGUUCGCAAUAAGGGAUGCCCUUGGGGGUGCAAGCUUCCGGGGGUCACAGUAAAUCGGUAUCAGCAACUGUUUAUCAAAAACACAGGACCGUGCAAACACGCAAGUGGAAGUAUACGGUCUGACGCCUGCCCGGUGCCGGUAAGUUAAGGAAGGGGGUUAUCGCAAGAGAAGCUCUCGACCGAAGCUCCGGUAAACGGCGGCUCUAACCUUGAGAGUCCUAAGGUAGCGAAGUUCCUUGUCGGGUAAGUUCCGACCUGCAUGAAAGGAUGAAAGGCGUAAUGACUGAUACACUGUCUCAACCAGUAACCCGGUGAAAUUGUAGUCGUGGUGAAGAUGCCACGUACCCGCAGUAAGACGGAAAGACCCCGUGAACCUUUACUGUAGGCUGAUAUUGGUCUGAGACCUAAUUUGUGUAGGAUAGGUGGGAGGCAUCGAAGCGAGGGCGCUAGCCUUUGUGGAGCCAACGUUGAAAUACCACCCUGAUUAUGUUUUAGUUCUAACACCGAUUCCCUUGAAACAGGGCGGUGGACAGUUUCAGUUGGGCAGUUUGACUGGGGCGGUCUCCUCCGAAAGAGUAACGGAGGAGUUCAAAGGUACCCUCAGCCUGUUUGGCAAUCAGGCGUUGAGCGU